rnacentral:miRNA from 12 species
CAAAAGCCUUAGUGUGGUUUU